GGAAUCAGUCCCAGGCAGGACAGAGCAUGGACAUGAGGGUCCCAACUCAGCUCCUCAGCCUCCUGCUGCUGUGGCUCCCAGGAGCCAGAUGUGAUAUCCAGAUGACCCAGUCUCCAUCCUCUCUGUCUGCAUCAGUGGGAGACAGAGUCACCAUCAAUUGCCGGGCCAGUCAGAGCAUUAGCAGUUACUUAAACUGGUAUCAGCAGAAACCAGGGACAGCUCCUAAGCUCCUGAUCUAUAGGGCAUCCAGUUUGCACACCGGAGUCCCUUCGAGGUUCAGUGGCCAGGGAUCUGGGACAGAUUUCACUCUCACCAUCAGCAGCCUGCAGUAUGAAGAUGUGGCAACUUAUUACUGUCAACAGUAUCAGAGUUGGCCUCUCACAAUGUUAUAAGCCUGAACAUAAACCACGAAGCAGACAACUGAGAGUCGGCCACCCCAGCUGCUCCACUUGGGCCUCCAUAGACUGAGAGAGCAUUCCUGAGAUGCACCCAUUCUUUGAUCGUGACUGGAUGUUUUGGUAAAAGUGACCAGGAGGGCUCUCCUGCCCCUUAACUCUCUUUGUCUCUCCUCAGCCUCAAUGGCACAUACAACGCGUCUCCUGAGUUCAUAAAGAACAGAGAUCAUCACACAUGAACUGUCUGUGCUACAGUAUCAGUCAGAAUUCAUGAAGUGAAAAAGAUGCCACUGUAGGUAUUCCAAGCAGGAAUUGCAUAAUAUAGGGAGUUAAUUUCUAAAGUACAUUGUUUCAAAGGCCUAGGGGAUUAAUAACAGGGGAAGCAGAUACCGUGGGAUUUCCUGGUACUUUCCCAGAAACAAGAGAACAUACGCCACUGGAGAGAGAGACUGUCUAACCAUGUGGUCCCCAGACCUGUGGGGGAAGCCCAGAAGUGGGGGUGCUGAUGCUCUCAGCUCACCAGUGAUUCCCCAGUCCCCCACUCUGCCUGCAGGAACUGAUGGAUAGUACUGAAUCCUCCUCUUCCAACUCCAACUCUCAGGGAGGGCCCCUCACUGAGCAAUUCUAUAGGAAACCAUAGAGGGCAAAGGGGUUCUGAGAAAUGUGCUUCCACAAGUGAGAGUGAUGAUGGGGAACUGACAGCAGGCAGCCUGGAUGGUCAUUCUUUUUACCUCUCUCAGAAAUUUGCCAAAUACAAUACACUUGGAUGUGCUUCCAACCAUUAUCAUCAAGUCUAGAUUCAUAACAGGAAAUGUUUGUUAAAUGUUUGAGAAAUUAGGAAAAUUAGGUAAAUGUUUUACAUGCAUAGAAAUAAUUUC